rnacentral:rRNA from 1 species
AUGUUGGCACGAGAAAAUGCAAGGACGCGCAACACGGAACGGAAGGCUAGAAUACGGAAACAUCUGGAGAAACCUGAAUUCUCGCCAUCUGCCUAUGACACAGCAUGGGUGGCUAUGGUGCCAUUGCCCGACACCAAUCGGCAGGCUCCAUGCUUCCCUCAGUGUGUUGAAUGGAUAUUGCAAAAUCAACACUGUAGUGGUUCAUGGGCUAUCAACCAAUUCGGCUUAUUAGCAAACAAGGAUAUUCUGUUAUCAACACUGGCUUGUAUCAUUGCACUUAAGAAAUGGAACGUUGGCUCCGACCACAUAAGUAGAGGACUAGAAUUUAUUGGAAGGAAUAUCUCCACUGUAAUGGAUAAGCAGAUUGUUUCUCCUAUAGGCUUCAAUCUCAUUUUCCCUGAAGGGUUGGUAAGCCUGCUGGACCGCAAUGAAGUUAUGAACUUCCAGAGAAAGAAUGGGUCGUUGUUCAACUAUCCUGCCGCAACGGCCGCUGUAUUAGUCCACCGCUACGAUGAUAAAGCUCUCCAAUACCUCAAUUCCAUUGUCAGUAUAUUUGGCAGUGCAGUACCAACAGUGUACCCACAGAAUAUAUAUUAUCAGCUCUCAAUGGUGGAUAUGCUCAAAAAGAUCGGAAUAUCUCGGCACUUUUCCAGUGAGAUAAACAGUAUCCUGGACAAGGCAUACAUUUCCUGGUUACAGAGAGAUGAGGAAAUAAUCCAAGAUGUAGAAACAUGUGCAAUGGCAUUUCGCCUUUUACGGAUGAAUGGAUAUGAUGUUUCAUCAGAUGAGUUGUCCCAUGUUUCUCAAGCCUUCACUUUCCAUAACUCACUGGAAGGUUAUUUAAAUCAAACAAAAUCUUUAUUAGAGUUAUACAAGGCUUCAGAACUAUGUUUGUCAGAAAAUGAAUUGGUCCUGGAGAACAUAAGUAACUGGUCAGGGCGCUUAUUGACAGAAAAGUUGUGCUGUAAUGGGUCAGAAAGAAUGCCAAUUCUUGGAGAGGUAGAAUAUACUCUUAAAUUUCCAUUUUAUGCAACAGUGGAAGCUCUAGAUCAUAAGAGGAACAUUGAACAUUUUGACUCUAGGGUUCCUCAGCAGCUAAAGACAAAAAACUUGCUGUGUCAUGUUAAUCAAGAUCUUCUAGAUUUUGCCAUUGAAGAUUUCAGUAUUUCUCAAUCUAUAUACCAGGAUGAACUUAGCCACAUCGAGAGGUGGGAGAAAGAAAACAGGCUGCACCAGCUAAGAUUUCUACGCAAGGGGAGUCUAAUAAAUUGUUACCUCUCUGCUGCUGCAACCAUAUCCGCUCAUGAAUUCUCUGAUGCUCGCAUUGCAUGUGCGAAAAGUAUUGCGCUCGUACUUGUUAUUGAUGACUUCUUUGAUGUUGGAGCAUCCAAAGAAGAACAAGAAAACCUCAUCGCAUUAGUAGAGAAGUGGGAUGACCAUCACAAAGUUGAGUUCUACUCUGAGCAAGUAGAAGUAGUAUUUUCUGCUUUUUAUACCACAGUUAAUCAGAUUGGAGAAAUGGCUUCUGCAAUACAAAACUGCGAUGUUACAAAGCACUUGGAUGAAACAUGGCUACAUUACAUGAGGUCUGUGGCAACCGAGGCAAAAUGGCAACGGAAUCAAUAUGUGCCAACAGUUGAGGAAUACAUGACAGAACCGCUUACCUCAUACGGGAUGGGCCCGAUUAUGCUCACAUCACUGUAUUUUGUCCAAAAAAAUCUCCUGAAGCACAUUAUCAAAGACCCGGAGUACAGUGAGUUGCUUAGACUAAUGGGUACAUGUGGCCGUCUCUUGAAUGAUACUCAAGGCUUUGAGAGGGAAUCCAGAGAUGGAAAACUGAACAUCAUCUCACUGCUUGUUCUUCAGAGUGGAGGUUCCAUGUCCAUAGAAGCUGCUCAAGAGGCCACACAGGAGUCAAUAGCCUCAUGUCGGAGAGACCUGCUAAGGAUGGUUGUUAGAGAAGACCGUGUUGUUCCUAGGCCAUGCAAGGAGCUGUUCUGGAGGUUUUGUAGGACAGCUCACUUGUUCUACUGUCACACCGACGGAUUUACGUCGCCCAAGGAAAUGCUCUGCACAAUGAAUGCAAUAUUCACAGAGCCACUCAAACUUCAAACUACCAGUCCUUCUUUUGAUGUUCAAUCAGAACAAUAA